CGAUACGACCGUACCGCAAACCGACACUGGUGCGCGAGAUGAGUAUUCUAAGGCGCUUGAGAGAACUCAGGAGAAGGAACUCGGCAAAUUGACACCGUAACUUCGGAAGAAGGUGUGCCCUAUUAGUGUGUAGUGAACAACGAAGCAUGAAUGGGUUGCAAAAAAUCGGUGGCUGCGACUGUUUAUUAAAAACACAGCACUCUGCAAACACGAAAGUGGACGUAUAGGGUGUGACGCCUGCCCGGUGCUGGAAGAUUAAAUGAUGGGGUGCAAGCUCUUGAUUGAAGUCCCAGUAAACGGCGGCCGUAACUAUAACGGUCCUAAGGUAGCGAAAUUCCUUGUCGGGUAAGUUCCGACCUGCACGAAUGGCGUAACGAUGGCCACACUGUCUCCUCCUGAGACUCAGCGAAGUUGAAAUGUUUGUGAUGAUGCAAUCUCCCCGCGGAAAGACGGAAAGACCCCAUGAACCUUUACUGUAGCUUUGUAUUGGACUUUGAACAGAUCUGUGUAGGAUAGGUGGGAGGCUUUGAAGCAGGGUCGCUAGAUCUUGUGGAGCCAACGUUGAAAUACCACCCUGGUGUGUUUGAGGUUCUAACCUAGGUCCAUUAUCUGGAUCGGGGACAGUGCAUGGUAGGCAGUUUGACUGGGGCGGUCUCCUCCCAAAGCGUAACGGAGGAGUUCGAAGGUACGCUAGUUACGGUCGGACAUCGUGACGAUAGUGCAAUGGCAUAAGCGUGCUUAACUGCGAGACUGACAAGUCGAGCAGAUGCGAAAGCAGGACAUAGUGAUCCGGUGGUUCUGUAUGGAAGGGCCAUCGCUCAACGGAUAAAAGGUACUCUGGGGAUAACAGGCUGAUACCGCCCAAGAGUUCAUAUCGACGGCGGUGUUUGGCACCUCGAUGUCGGCUCAUCUCAUCCUGGGGCUGUAGCCGGUCCCAAGGGUAUGGCUGUUCGCCAUUUAAAGAGGUACGUGAGCUGGGUUUAAAACGUCGUGAUACAGUUUGGUCCCUAUCUUCCGUGGGCGCUGCAGAUUUGAGGAAGCCUGCUCCUAGUACGAGAGGACCGGAGUGGACACACCUCUGGUGUAUCGGUUGUCACGCCAGUGGCAUUGCCGAGUAGCUAAGUGUGGAAGAGAUAACCGCUGAAAGCAUCUAAGCGGGAAACUCGUUUCAAGAUGAGAUCUGCCGGGGCCUUGAGCCCCCUAAAGAGUCGUUCAAGACCAGGACGUUGAUAGGUCAGGUGUGGAAGCG
rnacentral:rRNA from 1 species